rnacentral:rRNA from 1 species
UACGGAGGGUGCAAACGUUGCUCGGAAUCAUUGGGCGUAAAGCGCACGUAGGCGGCUCGUUAAGUCGGAUGUGAAAGCCCUCGGCUCAACCGAGGAAGUGCAUACGAAACUGGCGAGCUUGAAUAUGGAAGAGGGUCGCGGAAUUCCCGGUGUAGAGGUGAAAUUCGUAGAUAUCGGGAGGAACACCAGUGGCGAAGGCGGCGACCUGGGCCAAUAUUGACGCGGAGGUGCGAAAGCGUGGGGAGCAAACAGG